GAUGAACGCUAGCUACAGGCUUAACACAUGCAAGUCGAGGGGCAGCAUGGUCUUAGCUUGCUAAGACUGAUGGCGACCGGCGCACGGGUGAGUAACACGUAUCCAACCUGCCGUCUACUCUUGGACAGCCUUCUGAAAGGAAGAUUAAUACAAGAUGGCAUCAUGAGUCCGCAUGUUCACAUGAUUAAAGGUAUUCCGGUAGACGAUGGGGAUGCGUUCCAUUAGAUAGUAGGCGGGGUAACGGCCCACCUAGUCUUCGAUGGAUAGGGGUUCUGAGAGGAAGGUCCCCCACAUUGGAACUGAGACACGGUCCAAACUCCUACGGGAGGCAGCAGUGAGGAAUAUUGGUCAAUGGGCGAGAGCCUGAACCAGCCAAGUAGCGUGAAGGAUGAAGGUCCUACGGAUUGUAAACUUCUUUUAUACGGGAAUAAAGUUUCCUACGUGUAGGAUUUUGUAUGUACCGUAUGAAUAGCAUCGGCUAACUCCGUGCCAG
rnacentral:rRNA from 1 species